rnacentral:rRNA from 1 species
GGUUAAGCGACUAAGCGUACACGGUGGAUGCCCUGGCAGUCAGAGGCGAUGAAGGACGUGCUAAUCUGCGAUAAGCGUCGGUAAGGUGAUAUGAACCGUUAUAACCGGCGAUUUCCGAAUGGGGAA